UACAAGGGGCAUAUUACCCCCGAGGAGGUUCCAGUGAGAUUGCCUUCCAUGCCAUCCCACUGAUUCAGCGUGCCGGGGGCGCUGUCCUCACCAAUGGUCCCGUGCAGGGUGUGCUGCUGGACUCUGCUGGGAGAGCCUGUGGGGUUCGAGCUCAUUCGAGAAGUCCUGGGCCACAGACUUUUCCUUCCCAUGACGGGGAAGCUGGUGGCUUCUACAUCCAUGGAAGUUGAGCUUGCAGUGUGCCUGAGUUCCUCCACCCGCGUCCACACCUGUCUCUCCACAACUACAGGCGUCCAGAGCUGAGUGCCUCUUCAGUCGAGCUAGAAGUCCUAAGACUGCGUGCUCUCGGAGGGCUGGAGGUUAAUGGCCAGCCAUAGGGGCACUUCCAUGGGUAAGCCGGGGUUGAAGGGCCCCAGGUCCCCCCCAAUCAGGUAUAUCUUGUCCAUGCUGAAGUUCGGGAUGAUGGUCACCAGUUUCUUCUUGGCCAAAAACUCCCCCUCGACUGCAUCCAUGGUGAAGAGAUCACGCUUCAGAUCCGUUUCCGUCCCUCUGUGUGUCAGAGGUCCAGCCUGGGCUGCGGCUUUCCUGAAGGAACAAUCUUAAAAGUCAUUUUGGGCUUGGGAUGUGGAUCAUGUGCUAGAGUACUUUCCUAACACGCAUAAAGCCCUUGGUUCAGCCCCUAACAUUGCACACACCAGGUAUGGGGGGUGUGGCUGUAAUCCUAGCACAUGAGAGGUGGAGAAUCAGAAGGCAUUUGGAUAAUGUAGGUGGGUCUUCUAUCUAUCUGUUGCUUUCAUUGGUUAAUUAAUAAAG